UCUUUUCCUUUUUUUCCAUCAGCCGCGGUAAUACGUAGGUGGCUAUCUUUAUCCUUAAUCAUUUUGCGUAAAGAGGGAGCAGGCGGCCGCAAGGGUCUGUGGUGAAAGACCGAAGCUAAACUUCGGUAAGCCAUGGAAACCGGGCGGCUAGAGUGCGGAAGAGGAUCGUGGAAUUCCAUGUGUAGCGGUGAAAUGCGUAGAUAUAUGGAGGAACACCAGUGGCGAAGGCGACGGUCUGGGCCGCAACUGACGCUCAUUCCCGAAAGCGUGGGGAGCAAAUAGG
rnacentral:rRNA from 1 species